UUUAAUUACUAUAUAAAAACUAGUUGUGCCCGCGAGUUCGUCCGCGUAAAAUUUGACAUAAAAGAUAUUGUUCAGUUCGCAGAGUUAUAAAAUAAAUACAUUUCGCAAAUAAAA